GACGAACGCUGGCGGCGUGCUUAACACAUGCAAGUCGAACGUGAUUUUUGUGGAAAUUCUUUCGGGAAUGGAAAUGAGAUGAAAGUGGCGAACGGGUGAGUAACACGUGAGCAACCUACCUUACACAGGGGGAUAGCCGUUGGAAACGACGAUUAAUACCGCAUGAGACCACAGAAUCGCAUGAUAUAGGGGUCAAAGAUUUAUCGGUGUAAGAAGGGCUCGCGUCUGAUUAGCUAGUUGGAAGGGUAAAGGCCUACCAAGGCGACGAUCAGUAGCCGGUCUGAGAGGAUGAACGGCCACAUUGGAACUGAGACACGGUCCAAACUCCUACGGGAGGCAGCAGUGGGGAAUAUUGCACAAUGGGGGGAACCCUGAUGCAGCGACGCCGCGUGAGCGAAGAAGGUUUUCGAAUCGUAAAGCUCUGUCCUAUGAGAAGAUAAUGACGGUAUCAUAGGAGGAAGCCCCGGCUAAAUACGUG
rnacentral:rRNA from 1 species